CUACCUCGAAAAACACUGCUCUCUCAAUAGCAGACUCUGAACAAUCCAUUCUUGGCUAAUAUUUUGUGGACGUAAAAAUUGUUCACGAAACUUUGGAUAAAAAAUUCGUAACAGUCCAUCAUGAAACAAAAUGAUAGAAACAAACUGCUUAACAGGGUAUUGAAAAACAAAUACCAUAAGUAAUCGAUAGAGCAUUCUGUCAAAACAUCCAGAUAUCAAGAAAAUAAGAUUAGAGAACAAAAGCUGAACUGACCAGUUUAAUCAAAAUUCACUCUCUCUCCAGUAGAAAAGAUGAUGUAGAACAGGGCUGAGAGAAAAUAUAAGAGUGAUGUAAGCAACAGAAAUCCUCGGAAUGAACCCACCAGUUCCACAAAGAAACCAGCUCCAACAGUUCCCACAAUGGCUGCUAAAGUCCCAGCAGUAUUUGAGAUUCCAUGUAAAACACCAGAAUAACGUGGAGCAAUCUCCUGGAGGUUCACAAGAAAACCUGAGUGACUAAAAGCUUUCAGUGCAACACCUAAAGUAAGCCAGGCAGAUGCUAUAGAUGGACUUUUUGCAGUAGUCAAACCAAUAAGAGCAAUCCCAGGACCAAUAAAACCGAUUGACUGCAUGAUCUUGCGAGUCAAGGUGACACUUAUACCACUCCUUAUUACCAUGUCUGACCACAUGCCACCCAAGAAUCCCAUGAACGCCAUCAAACUCCAUGGUACAGCACUAAACCAUGCUGCUCGUUUGAGGUCAACAUGAAAUAUCGAGUUAAAGUAUAUAGGCAUCCAGGAAAGAAUAACAAAAAAUCCCCAGCUAUGCAUGGCAUUUGCAACAAUUAAGGACCAUGUUGGCAUUUUAGACAACAAGCGUCUGAAUGGAGGGAUAACUCUGGCCUUGGUAUUAUUCUCUGUCGGAAAAGAUUUCUGCUUCUUGCCCAUAAUAUACUCCAAUUCACAUCUUGAAAUCUGGGAACUUUGAUAAGGUGUACUUGAUAUUGCAGAAAACCAAACCAAAACCCAAAGGAAUCCAGAUAGUCCAAAAAUUACAAAUGGCCCAAAUAUUCCACCUUGUGACAUGAGGAUUGGGGAUAGCGUCAGUCCUAUUGCACAUCCAAGCUGAAAUCCAGCCAUUGCAAUUCCAACAGCCCUGGCACGUUCUGUCGGUGGAAACCAUCUUGCUACCAUGCUGUUCAUGCAAGGAAGAGCCACACCUUCCGCUAUACCAAGCAUAGCUCGCAUGGCCAUUAGAGCCCAUAAAGAAGUUUCAGCAGCAAAGGGAGUAAGAAAGGUAGCUAAUGACCACAGCGUGACACCCCAUCCCAUGACUACCUUACCACCAUAAUAAUCAACCAAAGUCCCUCCAGCUAUCGGAGAAAUUAGAUAUCCCCAGAGGAAGGAAGACUGAACAAUACCGGAGAAGGAUCGGCUCCAUCCGUGAGUAAGCGACAACGGUACAAUCGCCACAGACAUCACCACACGAUCAGCAUUACAAAGCGCGAGUGCCAAAGCCAGCAUAGCAGCCACUUUGACCCUCUCCGACGUUAUAAACUCCAUAAAGCUCGGCGACUGCGGCUCGCUAUCAUCCUGUAAAGAACCGAACCGAGCAUCGUCCGAAGAAACCCUAACUCGCGAGAACGAAACUGUACGGAACUCAACCGAGUCAUGCCGCAGUUGAACUUGCAGAGAACUUGGUGGAAAGGAAACGAUUCGGUAGCAGUUGUUCUUAGGUAAUUCGGCGAAAGCAGAGGGAAAUUGAAGCUUUAAGAUAUUGAAUUUGAGGGUUUUGUGGUUUUGGAACACAGAAAAGGAGUGAGUACUGUUUGGCCGAUUAAGCAACAGCGACGAGUUCAUUUUUUGAGCACCCUUGGCCCUUGCCGACUGGAGAUAGGAAGCAGCCGCCAGAUAUAUAUAUAGACUGUUACUUUUAUGAAAUGACAGGACUGCCCU
rnacentral:misc_RNA from 1 species